rnacentral:rRNA from 1 species
UAUUGUCAUUUAUGGAAACAUAGGCAAAGACUUCUUAAAGGGACAUGUUGGGUUUACCAGCGGGAAGUUUGAGGCAAUAACAGGUCUGUGAUGCCCUUAGAUGUUCUGGGCCGCACGCGCGCUACACUGACGACUUCAACAAGUUUUUUGGCAUUGCCAAAUUUCCUUGGCCGGAAGGUCUGGGUAAUCUUUUAAAAGGUCGUCGUGAUGGGGCUAGAUUCUUGCAAUUAUUAAUCUCCAACGAGGAACC